rfam:Cavia porcellus supercont2_55 genomic scaffold, whole genome shotgun sequence.
GAGGUUGUAGCUCAGUGAUAUAGUGUUUGCCUAGCAAACAAGAGGCCCUGGGUUCAAUCCCCAGAACCUUA